rnacentral:lncRNA from 1 species
UUGGGGAAGAUCUCCAGCAGCACGACGGCAUGGUGUCGAUGGAGAGACGAGGUCUCCCGGCACGGCUUCGCCAAGCAUCGGCAGAGAAGAGGAGAAAGAAGAGCAGGGCUGCGCCGAGGGAGAGGAAGAUUGGUGUCUCCAACAUCCCAAAGUGCCCACUAUAUAUAGGGGGAGGGAGGGGCUGGGGGGAGGUGCGGCGGCCAGGAGGUGAGGAGGGGUGGCGCACCCUUCUGGUGGGCCUUAGGCCCACCUGCGCUAGGGUUCCCCCUCCCCCUCUUCUUGCGCCAUGGGCUGAGUGUGGGGGGCGCACCAGCCCACCUAGGGGCUGGUUCCCUCCCGCACUUGGCCUAUCUAGCCUCCCGGGGUCGUGUCCCCCUGCCGGUGGACCCCCGGGGCCACCUCCGGUGGUCCCGGUACGUUGCCGGUGACGCCCAAAACACUUCCGGUGUCCGAAACCAUCCGUCCUAUAUAUCAAUCUUUACCUUUGAACCAUUCCGGAGCUCCUCGUGACAUCCGGGAUCUCAUCCGGGACUCCGAACAACUUUCGAUAACCUCGUAUAACAAUUCCCUAUAACCCUAGCGUCAUCGAACCUUAAGUGUGUAGACCCUACAGGUUUGGGAGACAGGUAGACAUGACCAAGACACCUCUCUGGCCAAUAACCAUCAGCGGGGUCUGGAUACCCAUGGUGGCUCACACUUGCUCCAUGAUGAUAUCAUCGGAUGAACCACGAUGUCAAGGAUUCAAUUAAUCCCGUAUACAAUUCCCUUUCUCUAUCGGUAUAGAACUUGCGUGAGAUUCGAUGAUCGGUAUACCUAUACCUUGUUCAAUCUCGUUACCGGUAAGUCUCUUUACUCGUUCCGUAGCACGUCAUCGUGUGACUAACUCCUUAGUCACAUUGAGCUCAUGAUGAUGUUCUACCGAGUGGGCCCAGAGAUUCCUCUCCGUCACACGGAGUGACAAAUCCCGAUCUCGAUUCGUACCAACCCAACAGACACUUUCAGAGGUACCCGUAGUGCACCUUUAUAGUCACCCAGUUACGUUGUGACGUUUGAUACACCCAAAGCACUCCUACGGUAUCCGGGAGUUGCACAAUCUCACGGUCGAAGGAAAAGAUACUUGACAUUGGAAAAGCUUUAGCAUACGAACAAUACAAUCUAGUGCUACGCUUAGGAUUGGGUCUUGUCCAUCACAUCAUUCUCCCAAUGAUGUGAUCCCGUUAUCAAUGACAUCUAAUGCCCAUGACCAGGAAACCAUGAUCAUCUAUUGACUAACGAGCUAGCCAACUAGAGGCUUGCUAGGGACACAUUGUGAUCUAUUUAUUCACACAUGUAUUACUGUAUCGUGUUAAUAAAAUUAUAGCAUUAACAAUAGACGAUUAUCAUGAACAAGGAAAUAUGAUAAUAAUCAUUUUAUUAUUGCCUCUAGGGCAUAUUUCCAACAGAGCAUCACUUGGAAACUUUUCCUUAGUUUUACCUCGGCCCCCUUUAACAGUACGGUGGUCCUAUGAUAUAAUAUAGAGGAAAUGAAACUAUGAAAACAAAAGUCUUCACACUUCAAAGUCCUCGCAUCAAUUCCUUCACAUACACACCAAUUUCCUCACUUUCAAAGUCUUCGAGGAAAUAACAAAGUCUUCAACCAAAGACAUACAUUUUUAAGGGUCGAUAUUCUUCGAAUACCUCAAACUCCUCAGCUACUUAUAGAGUCUGUGUACACUCACAAACACAUUAGUCUCUUAACCUAUAAGUCUUCAAUACACCAAAAUCACUAAGGGCAUUGUUAGAGCGUAUUUCUCCGUAUGUGGUUUUGGUAAUUGAUGACAAUUCCUAUGGACUAAUGGUUGCCUUAAGUUAUAUUUAUAGGAUUUGUCCAUAGGCACUUCUUGAAAUCCAUCUGUUGGGUUGAGUUUAUAUGAUGACCAAGGUGGUAUUAAAGGUAUUAUCCAAAGAAUGGUCAUAGAGACACAAGGUUGAUCAAGAUCGUCAGACAAAGAGUAAAUCAAGAUGAUCAACACACAAAGCGUACAAGAUGUACCGAGAGGGAUCAACUGAUCCCAUGGUAUGGUAAGCAUUGUCCAUUACGUGUUUGUGUACUAAGCCAUGGUCUUUGUGAGAGUUCUAUGUGGGGGUUAGGUGUGCUUCCAUGGGCUUGCGUCAAAAGGAAGAUCUCAUACAACCCAUGAAGGAUGACGUCAAGUGGUGAUCGUCAUCAAGAUUGCGAUGUGCAAGUUCAAGUGGAUCAGCACGAAUAUAUCAUGCUUGAUGCUUACCGUCCAUUGUGGUGGCAAUGGACUUGUGAAGAUAUGUUGAAGAGCGGCUCACCCAUAGUGUGUAUGGGGGAGCAAUCAACUAGUCUUCAUCAAGCCAACGCAAUCAAAAAAGGUGGUCCAUCUUGAGGAAGCCAAGAUCAUCAUCAUCUAGCUCAAUAGGAUGAGGUGCAAGGUAUAGGUUGUUGGGGUACGUUGCAUGGGAAACAAAAAAUUUCCUACGCCUACGAAGACCUAUCAUGGUGAUGUUCAUCUACGAGAGGGAGAUUAGAUCUACAUACCCUUGUAGAUCGCUCAACGGGAAGCAUUAAGAAAUGUGGUUGAUGUAGUGGUACAUCUUCGUGAUUCAAAUCACCGCCGUCCCACGAUCCGUCCCUCGAACCGUCCCACAAUCCGUCCCACGAACCGUCUCGUGAUCCAUCCCACGAUCCAUCCCGAUCUAGCGUCGAACGGACGGCACCUCCGCGUUCAGUACACGUACAGAUCGAUGACGAUCUCGGCCUUCUAGAUCCAGCAAGAGAGAUAGAGAAGUAGAUGAGUUCUCCGGCAGCGUGAUGGCGCGCCGGUGUUGGUGAUGAUCUAUUCCUGCACGGCUCUACCCGAGCUCCGCAGAAAUCUAAUCUAGAGGAAGAACUAUGAGGUGUAGGUUUGAGUUGCAUGUGGCAAAAGUUGUGUCUCAAACAGCCCUAAACCUCAAGUAUAUAUAGGCGGAGUCAAGGGGUGGGGGAAAGCCCUUAGGGCGCCGGCCAAAGAGGCCCUCCUUGGGUCGGCCGAAGUGGGAAGGGAAGAGUCCUUCUCCAAUCCCACUUGGAUUAGGACUCCUUCCUUAUUUUCCCACUCUUUUGGAUUUUCCACUUUUUCCUCAUGGGCUUUCCUUGGAUGACUUUGUCAGCCCAUUAUACCUUAUUGCACAGCCAAUAAACCCAUGUGGACCCCUUGGGGCGUGGUGGGCCCACCCAGUGGGCCCCCAGAACCAAUUCGUCACUCCCGGUACACUGCCGGUAAUGCCCGAAAACUUUCCGGAAUCCAAACACCAACUUCCUAUAUAUCAAUCUUAGUUUCCAGACCAUUCCAGAAACCCUCGUGACGUCCGUGAUCUCAUCACGGACUCCGAACAACCUUCGGUCACCAACACAUAUAACUCAACUAUACUAAAACGUCACCAAACCUUAAGUGUGUAGACCCUGCGGGUUCGAGAACUAUGUAGACAUGACCCGAGACACUCCUCGGUCAAUAUCCAAUAGCGGGACCUGGAUGUCCAUAUUGGAUCCUACAUAUUCUACGAAGAUCUUAUCGGUUGAACCUCUGUGCCAGGGAUUCAUAUAAUCUCGUAUAUCAUUCCCUUUGUCCUUCGGUAUGUUACUUGCCCGAGAUUUGAUCGUCCGUAUCCCUAUACCUAUUUCAAUCUCGUUACCGGCAAGUCUCUUUGCUCAUUCUAUAAUACAAGAUCCCGUGACUCACACUUGAGUCACAUUGCUUGCAAGGCUUGUGUGUGAUGUUGUAUUACCGAGUGGGCCCCGAGAUACCUCUCCGUCACACGGAGUGACAAAUCCUAGUCUUGAUCCAUGCUAACUCAACGGACACCUUCAGAGAUACCUGUAGAGCACCUUUAUAGUCAUCCAGUUAUGUUGUGACGUUUGAUACCCACAAGGUAUUCCUUCGGUGUUAGUGAGUUACAUGAUCUCAUGGUCAUAGGAAUGAAUACUUGACACGCAGAAAACAAUAGCAAUAAAAUGACACGAUCACAUGCUACGUUCAUAGUUUGGGUCUUGUCCAUCACAUGAUUCUCCUAAUGAUGUGAUCCCGUUAUCAAGUGACAACACUUGUCUAUGGUGAGGAAACCUUGACCAUCUUUGAUCAACGAGCUAGUCAACUAGAGGCUUACUAGGGACAGUGUUUUGUCUAUGUAUCCACACAUGUAUUUGUGUUUCCAAUCAAUACAAUUAUAGCAUGGAUAAUAAACAAUUAUCAUGAACAAAGAAAUAUAAUAAUAACUAAUUUAUUAUUUCCUCUAGGGCAUAUUUCCAACAGUCUCCCACUUGCACUAGAGUCAAUAAUCUAGUUCACAUCACCAUGUGAUUUCAAAGAAUCCAACACCCAUACAGUUCUGGGGCUUGAUCACGUCUUGCUCGUGAGAGAGGUUUUAGUCAACGGUUCUAAAUCUUUCAAAUCCGUGUGUGCUUUACAAAUCUUUAUGUCAACUUAUAGUUGCUGCUACUACGUGCUAUUCGGAAAUACUCCAAAUAUCUACUCUACUAUACGAAUCCGUUUUACUACUCAGAGUUAUUCGGAUUAGUGUCAAAGCUUGCAUCGAUGUAACCCUUUACAACGAACUCUUUAACCACCUCCAUAAUCGAGAAAAAUUCCUUAGUCCACUAGUUAUUAAGGAUAACUUUGACCGCUGUUUUAGUGAUUCAAUCCUGAAUCACCUUUUGUACCCCUUGAUAGACUCAUGGCAAGGUACACAUCAGGUGCGGUACACAGCUUGGCAUACUUUAGAGCCUACGGCUAAGGCAUAGGGGACGACCUUCGUCCUUUCUCUUUCUUUUGCCGUGGUCGGGCGUUGAGUCUUACUCAAAUUCACACCUUACAACACAGCCAAGAACUCCUUCUUUGCUGAUCUAUUUUGAACUCCUUCAAAAACCUGUCAAGCCACGCAUUUCAUUGAAAGUUCUAUUUAGUGUUUUGAUCCAUCUCUAUAGAUCUUGAUGCUCAAUGUUUCAAGUAGCUCUAUCCAGGUCUUCCUUUGAAAAACUUCGUUCAGACAACCUUUUAUGCUUCACAGAAAUUCUACAUUACUUCCGAUCUACAAUAUGUCAACCACAUAUACUUAUUAGAAAUUCCAUAGUGCUCCCACUAACUUCUUUGGAAAUACAAGUUUCUCAUAAACCUUGUACAAACCCAAAAGCUUUGAUCAUCUCAUCAAAGCGUAUAUUCCAACUCCGAGAUGCUUGCACCAGUCCAUCGAAGGAUCGCUGGAGCUUGCAUACUUGUUAGCAUCCUUAGGAUUGACAAAACCUUCUCGUUGUAUCACAUACAACCUUUCCUCAAGGAAACCGUCGAGGAAACAAUGUUUUGUCAUCCUAUGUGCAAUAUUUCACAAACAAUGCAGCAAUUGCUAACACAAUUCCAACAUAUUUUGAGCAUCGCUACGAGCGAGAAAGUCUCAUCAUAGACAACUCCUUGAACUUGUUGGAAACAUCUUUGCGACAAGUCGAGCUUUUCUUAAUGGUGACUUUUCACCAUCAUCGUAUGUCUUCCCUUUAAAGAUCCAUCUUUACUUAACAGUCGUACGACCAUCAAGUAGUUCUUCCAAAGUCUACACUUUGUUUUCAUACAUGGAUCCUCUCUCGGAUUUCAUGGCCUCUAGCCAUUUGUCGGAAUCCGGGACCACCAUCGCUUCUCCAUAGCUCAUAGGUUCAUUGUUGUUCAACAACAUGACCUCCAAGACAAGGUUACAGUACCACUCUGUAGUAGUACGCGACCUUGUCGACCUACGAGGUUUGUAGUAACUUGAUCCGAAGCUCAAUGAUCACCAUCAUCAGUUUCCACUUCAAUUGGUGUAGGCACCACAUGAACAACUUCUUGCGCCCUGCUACACACUGGUUGAAGUGAAGAUUCACUAACCUCAUCAAGUUCCACCACCCUCCCACUCAAUUCUUUCGAGAGAAACCUUUCCUCGAGAAAGGACCCGUUUCUAGAAACAAACACUUCGCUUCCGGAUCUGAGAUAGGAGAUGUACCCAACUAUUUUGGAUAUCCUAUGAAGAUGCAUUUAUCCGUUUUGGGUUCGAGCUUAUCAGACUGAAACUUUUUCACAUAAGCAUCGCAGCUCCAAACUUUUAAGAAACGACAGCUUAGGUUUCUCCAAACCAUAAUUCAUACUGUGUCAUCUCAACGGAAAUACGCGGUGCCCUAUUUAAAGUGAAUGCGGUUGUCUCUAAUGCAUAACCCAUAAACGAUAGUGGUAAUUUGAUAAGAGACAUCAUAGUAUGCGCUUAUAUCCAAUAGGGCGCGGCUAUGACAUUCAGACACACCAUCACACUAUGGUGUUCUUAGGUGGCAUGAAUUGCAAAACGAUUUCCACAUUGUUUUAAUCGUGUACCAAAACUCGCAACUCAAAUUUUCAUCUCUAUGAUCAUAUCGUAGAUAGUUUAUCCUCUUGUCACGACGAUCUUCACUCUGAAAAUAGCUUUGAACUUUUCCAAUAUUUCACACUUGUGAUUCAUCAAGUAAAUACUCCUGUAUCUACUUAAAUCAUCAGUGAAGUAAGAAGAUAACGAUAUCCACUGCGUGCCUCAGCACUCAUUAGACCGCACACAUCAAAAAUGUAAUACUUCCAACAAGUUACUUUCUUGUUCCAUGUGGUAUGAUUUGCAUGUCUCAAGUGAUUCAAAAAUCAGGUGAGUCCAAACAAUCCAUCUGCAUGGAGUUUCUUCAUGCGUUUAUACCAAUAGGUAUGGUUUGCAUGUAUCAAACGUUUCAAAAAUGAGUGAGUACAAAGGUCCAUCAACAUGGAGCUUCUUCAUGCAUUUUACACCAACAUGACUCAAGUGGCAGUGCCACAAGUAAGUGGUACUAUCAUUAUUACUUUGUAUCUUUUGGCACCAAUAUUAUGAACAUGUGUAACACUACGAUCGAUAUUCAAUAAACCAUUGAGGAUAAUUAUUCAAGCAAAUAGAAUAACUAUUAUUCUCUUUAAAUGAAUAAUCGUAUUGCAAUAAACAUGAUGCAAUCAUGUUCAUGCUCAAUGCAAACACCAAAUAACAAUUAUUUAGGUUUAACAGCAAUCCCGAUGGUACAGAGAGCAUGCGAUAUUUGAUCACAUCAACCUUGGAGACACUUCCAACACAUAUCGUCACCUCGUCUUUCGCUAGUCUCUGUUUAUUCCGUAGCUUUGAUUUCGAGUUACUAAUCAGUUAGCAACUGAACCGGUAUCUAAUACCCUCGUGCUACUAGGAGUACUAGUAAAGUAUAAAUCAAUAUCAUGUAUAUCAAAUAUACUUCUGUCGACUUUUGUCAGCCUACUCAUCUACCAAGUAUCUAGGGUAGCUCCGCCUCGGUAACCAUUCCCCUCAUAACAGAAGCACUUAGUCUCGGGUUUGGGUUCAAUCUUUGGUUUCUUCAUUAGACCAACAACUGGUUUGUCGUUUCAUGAAGUAUCCCUACUAGCCCUUGCCCUUCUUGAAACUAGUGGUUUUACUAACCAUCAACAAUUAAUGAUCCUUCUUGAUUUUUACUUUCGCAGUGUCAAACAUUGCAAAUCAUUCAAGGAUCAUCAUAUCUAUCCUUGAUAUGUUAUAAUUCAUCAUGAAGCUCUAGCAGCUUGGUGGCAGUGACUUUGGAGAACCAACACUAUCUUAUCUGGAAGAUUAACUCCCACUUCAUUCAAGCGAUUGUUGUACUCACACAAUCUGAGCACAUGCUCAAUGAUUGAGCUUUUCUCCUUUACUUUGCAGACAAAGAAUCUUGGUGGAGGUCUCAUACCUCUCAACAAGGGCACGAGCAUGAAAUCUCAAUUUCAUUUCUUAGAACAUCUCUUAUGUUUCGUGACGUUUCAAAACGUCUUCGGCACCUUGCUUAUAAGCCAUUAAGUAUUACGCACUGAACUAUCACGUAGUCAUCAAAAACGUGUAUGUCAGAUGUUCGCAACAUCCAAAGACGGCGCUCGAGGUGCAGCACACCGAGUGGUGCAUUAAGGACAUAAGCCUUCUGCGCAGCAAUGAGGAUAAUCCUCAGUUUUAUGGACUCAGUCCGCAAAGUUGCUACUAUCAUCUUUCAACUAAAUUUUCUCUAGGAACAUAUAAAAACAGUAGAGCUAUAGCGCAAGCUACAUCAUAAUUCGCAAAGACCUUUUGACUAUGUUCAUGAUAAUUAGAGUUUAACUAAUCAAAUUACUUAAUAAACUCCCAGUCAAAAAGUACAUCCCUCUAGUCAUUUGAGUGGUACAUGAUCCAAAUCCACUAACUCAAGUCCGAUCAUCACGUGAGUUGAGUAUAGCUUCAGUGGUAAGCAUCUCUAUGCUAAUCAUAUCAACUAUACGAUUCAUGCUCGACCUUUCGGUCUCUUAUGUUCCGAGGCCAUGUCUGCACAUGCUAGGCUCGUCAAGUUUAACCCGAGUGUUCCGCAUGUGCAACUAUUUUGCACUCAUUGUAUGUGAACGUUGAGCUAUCACACCCGAUCAUCAUGUGGUGUCUCGAAACGACGAACUGUCACAACGGUGCACAGUCGGGGAGAAUACAAUUUCUUCUUGAAAUUUUAGUGAGAGAUCACCUUAUAAUGCUACCGUAGUUCUAAGCAAAAUAAGGUGCAUAAAAGGAUUAACAUCACAUGCAAUUCGUAAGUGACAUGAUAUGGCCAUCAUCUUGUGCUUAUUGAUCUCCAUCACCAAAGCACUGCCAUGAUCUUCUUAUCACCGACGCCACACCAUGAUCUCCAUCAUCAUAAUAUCCAUCAUCGUGCCGCCAUAGAGGUUGUCAUGCUAUCUAUGCUAUUACUACUAAAGUUACGACCUAGCAAUAUAGUAAACGCAUCUGCAAACACAAACGUUAGUUUAAAUAAAACCCUAUGGCUCAUGUCGGUUGCUGUAGCAUUGACGUGCAAGUCGAUAUUAACUAUUACAACAUGAUCAUCUCAUACAUCCAAUAUAUCACAUCACGCAUUGGCCAUAUGAUAUCACAAGCAUACCCUGCAAAAACAAGUUAGACGUCCUCUAAUUUCUUGUUGCAUGUUUUACGUGGCUGCUAUGGGUAUCUAGUAUGAUCACAUCUUACUUACGCAAAAACCACAACGGAGAUGUGCAAAUUUCUAUUUAACCUGUCUCCAAGGACCGCCUCGGUCAAAACCAAUUCAACUAAAGUUGAAGAAACAGACACCCGCCAGUCAUCUUUAUGCAACGAGUUGCAUGUUAGUCGAUGAAACCAGUCUCUCGUAAGCAUACGAGUAAUGUCGGUCCGGGCCGCUUCAAUCCAACAAUACCGCCGAAUCGAGAAAAGACUAAGGAGGGCAGCAAAUCAAACAUAAACGCCCACAUAACCUUUUGUGUUCUACUCGAGAUAACAUCUACGCAUGAACCUAGCUCAUGAUGCCACUGUUGGGGAUCGUUGCAUGGGAAACAAAAAAUUUCCUACGCACACGAAGACCUAUCAAUGUGAUGUUCAUCUACGAGAGGGAGAUUACAUCUACAUACCCUUGUAGAUCGCUCAGCGGGAAGCGUUAAGAAACGUGGUUGAUGUAGUGGUACAGCUUCGUCAUUCAAAUCACCGUCGUCCCACAAUCCGUCCCUCGAACCGUCCCACAAUCCCUCCCAAGAACCGUCUCGCGAUCCAUCUCGAUAAAGCGCCGAAUGGAUAGCACCUCCGCGUUCAGCACACGUACAGCUCGAUGACGAUCUGGGCCUUCUUGAUCCAGCAAGAGAGACGGAGAAGUAGAUGAGUUCUCCGACAACGUGAUGGCGCGCCGGUGUUGGUGAUGAUCUAUUCCUGCACGGCUCUGCCCGAGCUCCAUAGAAAUCUAAUCUAGAGGAAGAACUAUGAGGUGUAGGUUUGAGUUGCACGUGGCAAAAGUUGUGUCUCAAACAGCCCUAAACCUCAAGUAUAUAUAGGAGGAGUCAAGGGGUGGGGAAAUACCUUAGGGCGCCGGCCAAAGAGGCCCUCCUUGGGUCGGCCGAAGUGGGAAGGGAAGAGUCCUUCUCCAAUCCCACUUGGAUUAGGACUCCUUCCUUAUUUUCCCACCUCUUUUGGAUUUUCCACUUUUUCCUCAUGGGCUUUCCUUGGAUGACUUUGUUAGCCCAUUAUACCUUAUUGCGCAUACAAUAAACCCAUGUGGACCCCUUGGGGCGCAUACAAUAAACCCAUUUGAUCGUCGGUAUCCCUAUACCUAUUCCAAUCUCGUUACCGGCAAGUCUCUUUGCUCGUUCUAUAAUACAAGAUCCCGUGACUCACACUUGAGUAACAUUGCUUGCAAGGCUUGUGUGUGAUGUUGUAUUACCGAGUGGGCCCCGAGAUACCUCUCCGUCACAUGGAGUGACAAAUCCCAAUCUUGAUCCAUGCUAACUCAACGGACACCUUCAGAGAUACCUGUAGAGCACCUUUAUAGUCAUCCAGUUAUGUUGUGACGUUUGAUACCCACAAGGUAUUCCUUCGGUGUUAGUGAGUUACAUGAUCUCAUGGUCAUAGGAAUGAAUACUUGACACGCAGAAAACAAUAGCAAUAAAAUGACACGAUCACAUGCUACGUUCAUAGUUUGGGUCUUGUCCAUCACAUGAUUCUCCUAAUGAUGUGAUCCCGUUAUCAAGUGACAACACGUGUCUAUGGUCAGAAAACCUUGACCAUCUUUGAUCAACGAGCUAGUCAACUAGAGUCUUACUAGGGACAGUGUUUUGUCUAUGUAUCCACACAUGUAUUUGUAUUUCCAAUCAAUACAAUUAUAGCCUGGAUAAUAAACGAUUAUCAUGAACGAAGAAAUAUAAUAAUAACUAAUUUAUUAUUGCCUCUAGGGAAUAUUUCCAACAUAGGUUUUCCCUUGAUAGGUUUUCUGUUUUAGGAUAGAUUGACAUACUGUCAAGGGGGGCUCUCAAGUGAGUAGCUCGAUUGUAUCGUUCGUUGAGAGCCCAAACCAUUUGCAUCCUUGCAUCAUACUUCUUGGUUCUUGUUUGGUGUUUCUCUUUGUGAGUUUUAGAGCUUAUGGUCAUCUUCAUGACAAGCUCGAGUUCAUAAAAAAUGAAGUCCAUAUGCAUCUACUAUAUAGCUGUUUGGAUAGCUCUUGUCGUCGUGAAUCCAACAAGCUUGGGUUUGCUCGAUUCAGAGCUCGUAUGCGAAAGUUAUGGCUGUUUCAGUGGCGAGCGGUAGUACCGCUUGUGCCAAGCGGUAGUACCGCUCCCUAGCGGUAGUACCGCUCCGGGUGGGCGGUAGUACCGCUGCCUAGCGGUAGCACCGCUCCAGGUGGGCGGUAGUACCGCUUCGGGAUGGUAGUACCUCUCUCUGAGCGGUUGUACUUUGUCGGACUUUUUGCGAAUACUUUUCCAAGCGGCGGUAGGCCCGAGAGUAAUAUCUUUACUACCGUGGCCUAGCGGUAGUACCGCUCCUCACCAGUGGUAGUACCGCUAGGGGCAGCGGUAGUACCACUAGAGGCAGUGGUAGUAGCGCACCUCGCCAGCGGUAGUACCGCUAGAGGCAACGGUAGUACUGCGCCUCACCGGCGGUAGUAACGCUGUGCGCGGGCUGUAAGUGGGGGUAACGGUCUGAUUCCUUCCCCCACUAUAUAAAGGGGGUCUUCUUCCCCGAUGGUCUUUUCUAUCUCUUGAGAUCAUGUUCUUCCCCCAUUGUUGACCUUCUUCGAGCUUGCUAACUCUCAAUCCCUCCAAUGAUUCUUGCUAGUUCUUGAGGGAAAAGAGAGAGGAGAUCUAGAUCCACAUCUCCACCAAUCACUUUCUCCUCUAUGUGAAGGGAACCCCUUGGAUUUGGAUCUUGGAGUUCUUUGUGAGCUCCUUGUUCUUCCUCUCAUAUUUCUCCAUAGCUUUUGUUGUUGUGGAGGGAUUUAAGUGUGAGGGACUUGGCCACUUCGUGUGUUCUUACCAUUGCAUUAGUUGCAUCGGUUUGAGUUUUCCACGGUGAUACGUGGAAGUGAAGUUUGAGAAUCUUAUCACCUUUUGGUACUUGGUACCCUAGAGAUUUUUCUUCGGGGCUGCUUUGGCGUCCUAGAAGCUUGGUGGUGCCUUGGAGCUCAAUCAUUGUGGUGUAAAGCUCAGAGCAAGCGUCAGGGUCUCCAAUUAGGUUGUGGAGAUUGCCCCGAGCAAUUUGUACGGGUACCGGUGACCGCCCCCAAGGGUUGCCAUUUGUACGGGUUAGGUGACCACCCUCAAGGGUCCCUUAGUGGAAUCACGACAUCUUGCAUUGUGCAAGGGCGUGAGGAGAUUACGGUGGCCUUAGUGGCAUCUUGGGGAGCAUUGCGCCUCCACACCGCUCCAACGGAGAUUAGCAUCCGCAAGGGUGUGAACUUCGGGAUACAUCAUCAUCUCCGCAUGCCUCGGUUAUCUCUUACCCGAACCCUUUACUUAUGCACUUUACUUUGUGAUAGCCAUAUUGUUUCUUGUCAUAUAUCUUGCUAUCACUUAGUUGUUUAUCUUGCUUAGCAUAAGUUGUUGGUGCACAUAGUUGAGCCUAGUUGUUUUAGAUUUUGUGCUUGACAAAUUAAACGUUAGUUUUAUUCCGCAUUUGUUCAAGCCUAAACCGUAAUUAUUUUAAAGCGCCUAUUCACCAUCCCUCUAGGCGACAUCCACGUCCUUUCAGGCACUGGAUGCACUUACAGAAUCAUCAUAAUUUACUUACCUUGUGAGCCAAUUCCAGUUUGAUUUACUUACCAAACUUCUUAUCAAAAUAAAAUGUAAAUCAUGAACAUAAUUUAAUAAAUAUAUAUCUACACAAUCACAUUACAAACAUAUAAAUCACAAGCUACCAUAUUAAAUAUGGAAAAAGCUUGUAAUCACACGACGGAUUGCAACUCCCGCAUCCGCCACCUUCCCCCAGACACCACGUGCCCCACGAACCACUACUACUAUAUUUUUAACUCGCCUGUUGUUGCAUUCUUACCAUCGCAGCAACUGGUAUAUUGCAGACCGAGGAAGACGAAGACGAGACGAUGAUAUCCAGAUCCCUGCAGCGCCGAACGAGAGAUGCACGUCACGUGACGCUUCAAUGUUGGUGCCGACAACAACUGCCCACCUCGUUGGAUAGGAGGAUGGGGCGACGAGGUUGCAACCGAGGUCGGGCGCACAGGUUGUCAUUGCCGCAUGCCUCCACCACAGCUGUUGGCCAAGCACGGUGCGUCAACCUCGCCGGAGAGAAGGGUGCGAUGAGCGACAUGGCGAGAGAUUUCGACGCUCGCCGAUGGGCAGCGUUGCUAGUCCCUCACCGGAGACCUUUUUUUUGCAACAUCCUCCGUGUUGCAUGAAAGAUUCUGCAACAUCACUAAUGUUGCAAAACUUUCUUACGUCGAUAACUUUGUUGCAAAGAAAUCAACAACAAUAAUAGCUAGAUAACAAUACCUCUGUUACAAAAAAUCUGCAACACAUUCUCUGUUGCAAUUUUUUUACAAGACACCCUCUGCUGCAAAAAAAAUCUGUAAUACAAUCUCUGUUAUAAAUGUUUCUACAAUAAGGUCUUUGUUGCAAAGUAGAAAAAAGACGUUCAUCCCGAUAGAUCCGACGACUCGACGAGACGGUGGAUCUUUUAAAAAGAUCUGCCGACCGAUGCGUAGGAUCCCCAUUAAAAUAUUCAUAUCCCAUUGCAACGCACAUGCAUUGUCCUAGGUUUUUUAUGGACAGGCUUUGUCCUAGUCUUUUUUGAACAUCAAUAACUUAAUUCUUUAAAUAAUAGCUAGGUAUGGCAAUGGGUCGGGUUUGGAGCGGGUGGAGCUGGUCCAAAUCCAACCCAUGACCCAUAUUCGUACCCUCUAUCCAUCCACCAAAGUAUCCAUGGACACAAAAUGUGCCCAUGCCCAAACACAUCCAGAUAUCCAUGGAGCUCCAUGGGCAUAGAAAAAUCAACAUGAAGCCUUCCCAAAGAUCAAACUAACUCUUCAUCGUUUGUUAACAAAGAUUAGGUUUAAUAAUUAUGUUAGUGCAGUUGUGGGGGAUUAGGGAAGAUGGGUCAGACUUUGACCUUCUCUGACCACGAGUGACUUGGGGUUGGACAUUUUCUUAGUUUAGUGUCCCUACCAUAGGGGCCCAUGUGUCAUAUGGGUAUCCAUGGAGCAAAAAUUAAAACUGUGCCCAACCCAACUGUUCGUGGGUAUCCAUAUCCACGGAACCAUGGGCAGAAAUGCGCUCCAUACCCUUGCCCAACUGGGUCGGGUAUCCACGGGUAUCCAGAUCCAUGGAUAAAAUUGCCAUCCCUAAUAAUAGCCAUAUCAUUUAAGUUUGCGGAAGAAGAUAGUCUCGGGGUGAAGCGUCCCAAAACUGAAAAUAGUUAGAGUUAUAACAGUGUUUUGCCAAACAAUCAGCGACGAGAUUAGCUUCCCUAGUUAACACCAUAUAUGUGGAGAUAUCAAGAAAAAAGCACUCGGGGUGAAGUGUCCCAAAACUCAAAAGAGUUAAAGUUAUAGCAGUGUUUUGCCAAACAACCAGAAACGAAAUUAGCUUCCCUAUUAACAACAUAUAUAUGGAGAUAUAGAAAAAACACUGAGGGUGAAGCGUCCCAACACUCAAAAGAGUUAGAGUUAUAGCAGUGUUUUGCCAAACAAUCAGUGACAAGAUUAGCUUCCCUAGUUAACACCAUAUAUCUGGAGAUAUCAAGAAAAAAACACUAGUGGUGAAGCGUCCCAAAACUCAAAAGAAUUAGAGUUAUAACAGUGUUUUGCCAAAGGAAAACACUUUGGAUCAACCGACUGAUUUUACUCAAAAAUCAGCCGGGUCGCUGGCUCCUCACGUGUCCCUCUCAGCCACAUCUUUUCUUCCCACCUUAUCCCUUCCAGUGCUCUCUCCUUCACUCAUUCUCCUCCUCAUCUUAUUCCUCUUUUCCUUCCGUAGCAAUGAUGCUGAGAUGAAGCACGACGAGGGGCAGCCGGGGCUGGGAUGGAGCAGCACCAAUGCACGGGGGUGGCGUUGUAGUGAAGCUCCGUCGACGGCGCCGACGAGAUGUUGAGAUGGAGCCCGUAGUGCUGGUGUCGCGCUCCAAUGAAGCAUUGCCGGAGCUGUGAUCGGUCGUCGGUGCUGCAUUGGAGCAUCGCCACGCCAGUGUGGCGCUGCAAUGAAGCUUCAUCGGCGGCUGCAAUGGAGCUUCAUCGACGGCGCCAAGAGUUGCGACGCUGCGCCCUGAGCUGCAAUGGAGCUUUACCUACGGAGACGAGAGCUGCAAUGCAGCGCCCAAAGCUGCAAUGAAGCUUCACCGGCGGCACCAAGAUCUGCGAUGCAGCACCCGCGCUGCAAUGAAGCUCCACUCGCGCUGCAAUGAAGCUUCAUCACGACGAGCGAUCGUUGCUUGCGUUGACUAGAUCCAAAGUCCUUGUAGAACGCAUCUAAUGGCUGGGGACCCGAGUGAUUUCUUGGGAAAUCAGUCGGUUGAUCCGUAGCAGCCGCCUUUGCCAAACAAUCAGCGACGAGAUUAGCUUCCCUAUUAACACCAUAUACGUGGAGAUAUAAAAAAACAAAGGGUGUAGCGUCCCAAAAACUCAAAAGAGUCAGAGUUAUAGGAGUGUUUUGUCAAACAAUCAACGACGAGAUUAGCUUCCCUAAUUAACACCAUACAUAUAUGCGGAGAUAUAUAAAGAAAAAGGAAAACACUUAAAAACAACCGGCUGAUUUUUCACUCGCGUAAGCCGCGGCCGACGCCCGCCACGCGUCCCUGUUUGCUCGCUCAUCCUUUCCCUUAUCUCUUCCCCCACAAACUGGACCGCUCGUUCUUUUUCCUUCCUUUCUUCUUCCUUGAGCACACCGCACCACACACAAGUGCCAGUGCCUGCCAUCGUAGACCAUAGCCGCCGUUGCUGCUGCAAGCGGGCUUCACAAAGGACGGUGCUUUGAUGCAAUUCCAGUUGUCGGUCACCUCAUGCUGCUAUAGGCUAGGUUGGGAGGACGGUGCUGUCAUGGCCGACGGCGGAGCUGCGUUGCAGCAGGCGAUGCGCGGCGAGGUUGUUGCCAUAUUGAUGGCGGAGCUGCGUUGGAGGAGGAGGGGAUACGAGCAACUGCCAUGGCCCUCGACAGAGCUACGGGCAAUGCUGCAACGAAGCUUCGCGGGGGCAUCAAUGAAGCUUUGCCGAAGCUGCAACGAAGCUUCGUCGGGGCGUCAAUGAAGCUUCGCGGUGCUGCACUGAAGCUUCGUCGGGGCGUCAAUGAAGUUUCGCCGGUGCUGCACUGAAGCUUCGCGUGUGGCGUCGGUGCUCCAUUGCAGCUUCGUCUCGGUGCUGGGGUUGUUAUGAAGCUUUUGUCGAUGCUUGAUGUUGCCAUGGACAGCACCUGCAGCUUCGGAUGCAGCGCCAGAUCGUACGUCCCCUAGCGCCAAAUCUAACGGCUGGCUAGGCGGAUGAUUUCCUGGCCUGAUCCGUAGCAGCCCCCAAAGAAAAAACACCAUAUAUGUGGAACGGUGGUCAAUAAAAUAACCUAGAUUUACAACACAUCUGAACCGUCCGAUCCAGAUACUGAGGCACCUAUAGUAGUACUACUCAACCCCUCGUAUAGGAACCGGCAAAAUGAGUUCAGACCCCGUCAAAUUCCGUUCCCCUCUCACCCCGACCUGACCCACCGACCCCUCGCCGGCCCACCGCCACAGGUCGCCGCAAUGGCGUACAACUCUUCGCGCGCGCGCCUCUCGCCGCCAGCUCCCGCGGCCCCUCGCCCCAGGAAGCGCGGACGUUCUCCCUCAGCUCCCGGCGCGGCGGUGUGGCGCGCGUCCGCUGCAUACGUCGCUCCUUUCGACCACCGCCGCCGCUGGCAGAACCCUGCAGGCGCGUCUGGCCGCGUCUGGCAGGGGUACCGCGCGCCACAUACCCCGGUGCCCUCCCGGCAGUGGGUCUUCGCGGACGAGGCAUCCACCUCGGGAUCAGGUAUCCUGUUAGCUGCAUAGCUGUCGUUGUCGAGGAGAUUGGUUACCUUUGCUCACCACUUGUUUGUGUAUAGGUCUGGUAAAAAUUGGCCUUUGCAUUGGCUAUUUUACUAGUAAUACUGCACUACUGCUACCGGGAAAUAGUAAGGAGCUAGUUCAACCAAUUAGGUAGUGGAAGUUAUUUUCCAAAAGAAAAAAGUUCAGUGAAAGUCAAAAUCUUCUACCCAGCUAGUGCAAUCUCCCACAAAGUCAUGAUCUUCGUGUGUACUUCCCUUACAAAGUUGGAUCAGUUUGGCUUGUUGGCUUGGAAGUGUGUUGCUUAUCACAAAUUUGUAUCAGAUUGGGUGGAAUUGUGUUGCUGAGAUGGAGGCAUUCGUGCCUGUACUUAUGCUUUCUUUUGUUAGAUGCAUGCACAAUCAUGUCAUACAACAUCUUGGCGGAUAACAAUGCACGGAACCAUCCUGACCUUUACUUGGACGUCCCUUGGGAUGCUUUGAGAUGGGAUUCGAGGAGAAGGCUUAUUAUCCAUGAAAUUAGGCACUGGGACUCUGACUUAGUGUGUCUUCAGGCAAGAACUCAACCUGCAUAUUGGCGAUGUCAUCCUUCCACUGUACUCUGUAACACUUUAUGUUUGGAAAAUAGGAGGUGGAUAGAUUCCGGGAAAUUGCUGCAGAAAUGAAGAACAAAGGCUAUGAAUGUAGCUUUAAGGUAUAGCACUAUAACAUUUCUCUUUGAAAUUUCUGCCUUUCAAAUCUUAAGCUGAGUCCCGUGCCAUCCUCAGGGGCGCACUGGGGAUGCUAAAGAUGGAUGUGCUACCUUUUGGAAGUCAGAACGGUAUGACUAAUGCUACCCCUUCUCCGCUUGUUAUCUUUAUUGGUUGGAACAAAGCAGCAAUUUUAUCCUUUCUGUUUGUUUGAACUGUAGGUUACGUCUGCUUGAGGAAGAUAGUAUUGACUUUAGUGAAUUCAAUCUACGAAAUAAUGUUGCUCAAGUAUUAGUUUUUGAGGUACUUGGAUUUACAUCAAAGCACUAGUUGGUUCAGUUCAUUAACUAAAGUAAGGAGUAAUUUCUCAUCCAUCCUGGUAAGAGUUAGCAGAUAAUCGCUUGGCUUCUUCUGCUAUUAAUGCUUUCCCUAUUUGAUAUGGGCCUGAGACCCAAAUAAUGGGUAGAACUAGCAGGAAAUAGAGAAGGAGGGGAUAUCUUUUUUUCUGUGAUAGUUCCAUCUUUUCUCUGUGAGUCGAAUAGCUCUAUCUGGAAACAUGCACCAUGUAUUAUUAUAAUUUUAGCACUGUCUUGUGACUCCCUUUACAUUGUGUAAAUGAACCAAAUGAUGUACUACAAUCGUGCAUUUUCUGAAUAGCCUCCCAGCUACCAUCUUUUGUAUAUUUUUUCUUCUUAUUCAGGUCUCUGCUAAGUAACCAAUGUUUUACUGUUGGAAGAAAAUGGUUAUAUUUAUUUUUCUUCUGACAUGUUUCCUUUUCAGCUUAACGGAACCCAAAAAUUUGUACUCGGGAAUAUCCAUGUUUUGUUUAAUCCAAAGCGUGGAGAUGUAAAAAUGGGACAGGUAUGUCAGUUCAGAUAAAAUCAGCAUCAUUUGUUUCAUGCAUAUCUAAUAUCAUUGUGUAGUCGUGUCUCAAGAUGGUCUGCAUAAUCCUCAUUAGCUGAUAGGAAUGUAAUGCACAGUUUGAAAUGACUGUUGGCCACUUCAAAUUUGACAGAUAUCUAUUUACUCCUUCCAACUUUACCCAAAUUAUUGUUUACUCCUGAUUCUCCUUCCUCCAGAUCCGCAUGCUACUGGAGAGGGCGAAUGCUCUUGCUGGAAAAUGGGAUGGAAUUCCUAUUGUGCUUGCUGGUGAUUUUAACAGCACACCUGAAGUAUGUUUUAGUUGCUUCCUUGCAUAUAUGUGCCUUAAGAUUCUCACAUAAAGAUAAUUACUUGUAACAAGUGUUUAGUUUCUGGAACUGAGAUGACAUGUUACCGCUCAUGAGUGAUAGUGCUUUAGAUUGAACGCGGGUGUUGGAUGGUACAAUUAGGGUAUUAAGUUGUAAAUAGGUUUUUUUUUUAUUGAAAUGUGGUAUCUUGUGAUUUAGAGCUAACAUUUUUCUUUCAUUGGUUCUAACUUUUCUUUUUUCUCUUCCUUGGACCAGAGUGCCAUCUAUAAGUUCUUGUCGACAAUGAAGGUGAAAUAUUGCAUUAGAUAUUUCUUGCAUAUCCCCAAAGUUAUAGUCUGGUUAUUAUAGAACUGAUUUACAAUGCAUACAAUGUGCUCUUUUUGGUGUGACCAGCUGAACGUUUCUUUGCAUGAUAGAAGGCAGUUGUCUGGACUGGAUAGCUCUGAAUUUGGUUUGUAUUGUAGGUUAGAAUUCUUUCUUGUCAGAUUUUAGUUGACCUAGCACAUUUGUCCAUUUUAAGAUUUUUAUCUACCUUCCUUGUAGUUUACUGAACUUUGAAUGGAGUGACGAAGAAGUGAGAAAUGCGACAGGGUCCUCAAAUGUCAUGGUCGCUAGACAUCCGUUGAAGCUUUCUAGCUCUUAUGCUAUGUUGAAGGUAGUAUUUAUUUUCUAGUAGAAACUGAAGCACUCUCUUCGACUAUUCGACAUAUAGUUGAAAUGAAGAGCCGGUUUAUUUUAGGGAAAUUCAAGCAAUAGGGGUCAUCAUGGUGAACCUCUAGCAACGUCAUAUCACAAGAAGUUUCUGGGGACUGUUGAUUAUUUGUGGUACGCUUCUAAACGUGUCUGCAUCUAUUAUACACAUAUACAAUAUGGCUGAGUCUCGUUGUUGAAGGUAUACUCCUGGACUUGAAUGCUCCAGAGUUUUGGACACACUACCUGUGGAUGCUUUGAAGAGGACAAGGGGUCUUCCAACCAGGGUACUUCCUAUUUUAAUGCAUCAUACUAUUUAGACAAAUCUGUAUGUGAAAAAGGACUAUAUGUUUAAACUUUGGGCUUGGGCAAUGUCAUGAUUCGAGUUUUGGCCGUAAAUUUCCUGUUAUACAUAAUGCUCAUAUUUGACCGCUAACAACGAUGUCAUGCUGAAAAAUCAUCAGGAAAUGGGCAGUGAUCAUCUGCCAAUUGUUGCUGAAUUCAUCUUCUCGGAACAGACCAGAUAUUCAUCCGAGCAAGGAGAUGAAUCCGACCAAGAUGAAUCUGAGCCAGACGAUGAGCCUACACGAGAAGCAACCACAGCAAAACACAUAUAUUUCUCCUCAGACAGUGACAGUUCGGCUGAUGCAAGUUAAUUAUUCAGUUGGUAGGAAAAGUUUAGGAUAUAUGACUUGGAGGACAGGGGCGCUGUACGAACUUCAUGGCGGUGACCAUACCAUUCAUGAUUCAGAUGCAGAAAUUAUCUUGGCCAUUGUAAGGCUCACGCCAUAUCCUUGAAUGAAUGUGCAAGGUGUGUUGCCAGAACCUGUAGUGUUGUAAUUCCUGUAGUGGAUUCCAGUCCUGCUGCUUCAGGAUGCUGAUACGGAUCAGAAUCAGGUGUAGGAAGCUGAUGUCUCCAGACUCAAGUGCCAAGAUUGUGGCCGAACGAGUGUUCUCCACGAGCUAUACAAACAAGUAGGUUAAGGACAAGGAAAGAAAAACAAUUAGUAUUGGCAGUUUAGCAUUUACUAGUACUCAAAGUGUAUUUAUUCUCCACUUUUGCGCAGAAUAUUGACACGCUAUCGUAAUGAUUUAACGUGCAGUAUGUACAUGCCGACUGUAGUGUACUCGUUCGGUCUAUGCCUAUAUACUCGCUCGUUUGACACUAACUGGCAAGCGUUCACUGGGACGGGAUUGGCAAGCGAACAUUUCUAAUGACGUUUUUAGGUGAUAGCAGUUGGUAGUUUCUGCCUGUUUUCGCCUCAAAAAUUCUUUCUAUUUGGAAACUGUCAUGUCUCUCUGAAAAAUUGUCAUGCGUCACUGAAUAAACUACUUGUAAAAACGUUGGCAAACGCUACCCCUCAUUGUGAACGUUCGCUGGCUAUUGGGGUCCUUGACACUAUUGGUUGAGGAUCCCGCUUUUAGAUUGGUGUAGGAGCAGGAGACUAACCAAACUUGCAUAUAUCCUGUAAUAAGUUAGGAAUUACAAAGUUCACGUGAAGUACAAAGCAUCUCAAACAUAAAAAUUACAUUGAGAUUAUGAGACCACUGAACAAAGCAUCUCCAACAUAAAAAUUAUAUUGAGAUUAUGAGACCAAUGUAUGACGGCUAGCUAUAUACUCGCUCGUUUGACACUAUUGUUUGAAGAUCCUGCUUUUAGACUGCUCGCAGUAGGAUACUAACCAAACAUUCCAUAUAUUCUGCAAUAAAUGAGGAAUUGCCGUCAUCGAGGAGGUCAGGCAGGCUUUAGUAAGGGGGCGGUGCGUCGGCGGCUUGUCCUGAUGGUGGUAGUGGUCGUUUGAUGAUCCAUUGACCUGUAGAUGCAAAAAAUUUUAUGUGUGUUAUAUAUGUUUUAUUUUGUACUCCCUCUGUAAACUAAUAUAAAAGCAUUUAGAUCACUAUUUUAGUUAUCUAAACACUCUUAUAUUAGUUUACAGAGGUAAUACUUAUGGACUUUUGUAUUAGAUCGAGUCCUUUGUGUAAAAAAAGAAACUAGAAAUUGCAGCAAUAGCAAACACACAGAUGCAGAGGCUGAGUACUAGCACUAGCAAAAUGCAGAUCGACCUUGCAUUCCCCAACCGUCAAAUCCGCAGUCCGCACUCAUCAGGCACCAACCAAAGAAAUGCCUGGUACGGGAGGGCAGGGAGGCCAUCUAUGGAUUUGAAGAUAGGGAGGCGGCCAAUCAGAGCCAAGCGGCCGGCCACGUCACCGCUCCGAGGGACCAAGACGCGGGCGAGCGCGGCCGCACAAGAGCCCCUCCUACACAACAAGCGUCCCAGCUUUUGUUGUUGUUGGGCGAGACACAGAGCGAGAGGCCGAGGAAGCGAUAGCUCUAGCGAUAAGGCACUGACGGAUCAAUGGCUGCCACGGCGUACUCCGUGGCCCUCCUCGGCGGGGCGCGCCUCCCCGCCGCCACCAGCAACGCCGCCCCACGCUCCUCCGCCCUCCUCCCGCGGCGCAACCUCCACCCGCUCCGCCUCCAAGGUGCACAUGCAUCCUAUGCUAUCUACGUACUAUCAGCCGGGUUUUUCCGGAGGAUUCUUUUGGCUCUGACGGCUUGGCCGAGCUUGCAGAUGCGCCGAGGCCGUCCCUGCUCCGCGUGAAGGCGGCCUCCGACGACACGUCGGCGAGCGGCGAUGAGAUCAUCGAGGACCUCAAGGGGAAG